GGGUAAUCCCGCCUGACCUGGGGUCGCGGUCGAAGGCCCGGCGGUCCGCCGAACGGGUGGACCGGGGGGCGCUAGGGUCGUUCGUGGCCCGCGGGGGGCCGUCACGGCUGAGAGCGAGAAUGAAGCGAGUCCAACCACCUUAAGUCGUGACGUCCCCUGUCCGGGGGGCCUCGCAUUUGGGCCAGCCGCGCCGCGAGGGAACGGGAGGCCAGCUUCCACCGCCCCACCGGCGUCCCGGAGGACGGGGAGGGGUGGCGACGAGAUGCGUGACGCCCAGGCAGACGUGCCCUUGGCCGGAUGGCUUCGGGCGCAACUUGCGUUCAAAAACUCGAUGAUUCACGGGAUUCUGCAAUUCACACCAAGUAUCGCAUUUUGCUACGUUCUUCAUCGAUGCGAGAGCCUAGAUAUCCGUUGCCGAGAGUCGUGUUGGUUACGUUUCAGACGCCGGGGGAUCCCGCCGCGGAAGCCGCGUGGGACGCCUCCCGGAUCCGUUGGAGUAGUCCUUGGCGCUUUUCGCGCCGAGAGUUAAGGUUCGGCGCGGUUCGCCGGGGGCCGUGGGCUGCUGCCCCGGUCCCCCGGCUCCCCGCGGGUUUUUUAAUAACGUGUUCGCGGUCGUCUGCAGG
rnacentral:misc_RNA from 1 species